rnacentral:rRNA from 1 species
AUGGUGAGGUAAUGGCUCACCAUGGCUUCGACGGGUAGCCGGCCUGAGAGGGUGACCGGCCACACUGGGACUGAGACACGGCCAAGACUCCUACGGGAGGCAGCAGUGGGGAAUAUUGGACAAUGGGCGGAAGCCUGAUCCAGCAACGCCGCGUGAGGGAUGACGGCCUUCGGGUUGUAAACCUCUUUCGGUGGGGACNAAGCGCAAGUGACGGUACCCACUAAAGAAGCACCGGCCAACUACGUGCCAGCAGCCGCGGUAAUACGUAGGGUGCGAGCGUUGUCCGGAAUUAUUGGGCGUAAAGGGCUCGUAGGCGGUUUGUCGCGUCGGGAGUGAAAACCAGGUGCUUAACACCUGGCUUGCUUUCGAUACGGGCAGACUAGAGGUAUUCAGGGGAGAACGGAAUUCCUGGUGUAGCGGUGAAAUGCGCAGAUAUCAGGAGGAACACCGGUGGCGAAGGCGGUUCUCUGGGAAUGACCUGACGCUGAGGAGCGAAAGUGUGGGGAGCGAACAGGAUUAGAUACCCUGGUAGUCCACACCGUAAACGUUGGGCGCUAGGUGUGGGGUCCAUUCCACGGAUUCCGUGCCGCAGCUAACGCAUUAAGCGCCCCGCCUGGGGAGUACGGCCGCAAGGCUAAAACUCAAAGGAAUUGACGGGGGCCCGCACAAGCGGCGGAGCAUGCGGAUUAAUUCGAUGCAACGCGAAGAACCUUACCUGGGUUUGACAUACACCCUGCCGCUCCAGAGAUGGGGCUUCUUUUGGGGGUGUACAGGUGGUGCAUGGCUGUCGUCAGCUCGUGUCGUGAGAUGUUGGGUUAAGUCCCGCAACGAGCGCAACCCUCGUUCUAUGUUGCCAGCACGUAAUGGUGGGGACUCAUAGGAGACUGCCGGGGUCAACUCGGAGGAAGGUGGGGAUGACGUCAAGUCAUCAUGCCCCUUAUGUCCAGGGCUUCACGCAUGCUACAAUGACCGGUACAAAGGGCUGCGAUCCCGUAAGGGGGAGCGAAUCCCAAAAAGCCGGUCUCAGUUCGGAUUGGGGUCUGCAACUCGGCCCCAUGAAGUCGGAGUCGCUAGUAAUCGCAGAUCAGCAACGCUGCGGUGAAUACGUUCCCGGGCCUUGUACACACCGCCCGUCACGUCACGAAAGUCGGCAACACCCGAAGCCGGUGGC